ACAGCAGCACGAGGAAGAUUUUUGGUUUUGGACAUGGACACAGACAUUGCUGAAAGCACAGGAUGUGGCGCUUGGGGCAUCAUGGAGGCAGUGGGGCUGGUUGAUACAGUGGAACGCCGAUUCUGGGCCCGGAAAAAACAAGCAAAGAC